rnacentral:rRNA from 1 species
AGAUUGAACGCUGGCGGCAUGCCUUACACAUGCAAGUCGAACGGUAGAGUUGCAAUACUCGAGAGUGGCGAACGGGUGAGUAAUAUAUCGGAACGUGCCCAGUCGUGGGGGAUAACGUAGAGGAAUUUACGCUAAUACCGCAUACGAUCUACGGAUGAAAGCGGGGGAUCGCAAGACCUCGCGCGAUUGGAGCGGCUGAUAUCAGAUUAGGUUGUUGGUGAGGUAAAAGCUCACCAAGCCGACGAUCUGUAGCUGGUUUGAGAGAACGACCAGCCACACUGGGACUGAGACACGGCCCAGACUCCUACGGGAGGCAGCAGUGGGAAUUUUGGACAAUGGGCGAAAGCCUGAUCCAGCAAUGCCGCGUGCAGGAAGAAGGCCUUGGUGUAACGUGCUUUAGUACGGAACGAAAGGUACUUUCUAAUAAAGAAGGCUUAUAGACGGUACCGUAAGAAUAAGCACCGGCUAACUACGU